AGCUUUUAUAUACUUGUGGGAAAGGUUAAAAAAGAAAAAGAAAAAGAAAAAGAAAAUAAAUUUUAUUUCUCUCUCUCUCCUCAAGACCUCGCGCGACCCGCCCUUCUCUUCUUUUUUCCGUUUUUUUUACCCAAACCCUAGCCGCCAGAGCCGCGUCGGCGCCUAUUUUUUUCCACUGCCGAUCUUCUUUCCUUCUCUAGCCGUGUCGCAUCGCCAGAGCCAUCACCGAGCAUCGUUGCUAUCCCAUCGCCGCGAAGAGCCAUCCCUUCGUUCGUCGUCUGCCGCUGCCUCGUUUGGUACCUGGAUCGUCGGGUUGACUAUGAGUCGCCGCGCCAAAGUCGUUCCGCUCGUGCAGACUUGCUUCUGCCGCCGCGCCCAGCCUUUCAGCCCCAUUUCUACCGCCGCGACCAGCCACAAGUCGACGCAUACGACCGCCCUGCCUCCGAUCAGUGCAACUGCUCGUUUCAGUUGGCACUUGAUAAGUUCCUUCGUCGUUCCGGUCAGCCACCGUUGAGUUCGUCGACCGCCACUGCCUAUUCUUGCAAAAUCUUGAAUUGGGAUUUUGGAAGAUUUUGGGGCGUUGCUAUCAAGGAAGAGACCAUUCUUUUUGACAGAAAAUUUUUGGAGUUGGGUAAGUUUUAUGUAAGUUGGUUGGUUAUCCUUUGGACUUGGACCCCGAGGAUUUAUUUAAUCUUUGACUCACUUCCUAGGCCAUAGUUGUUAAACUAAACUUGUGGUUAAUGUCAUAAGAUUGAUUUGAGUUUGAUCCAAGGGCUAUUAAGGAGUUAUUUGUGCAGACUUUUGAGACCAAGUUGAGGUAAGUAGUACUAUUACCGGUGCCUUCGUGUCAGGCGGCUUAGACUAGACCUAUAAAGUUACUUAAUGGACUCUUGAAGCAUGAUUUUUGUCAUUAUGUUUUACUUGUUACAUGACAGUUAUAAGUAUUAUGAGCAUGUUCGAAUUUCUAAUCAAUACUGAUAAUAUGUAUGUGAUGCAUGAAUAGACUAAUAGAGCGGUUUACCGUCUCGCCUUGACGCAUGUUUUAUUUCAGAGGACCUAUAGGUCUAGUUUUAUGUUUGACAGUGCCUACGGGCCGCUAGACAUGCGUGAGUUGAAAGGUUCAUGUUCAU